GAGCCAUUUUUGUACUAGAUCGUUUUAUUUUGCUGUUGCGUCGUCACACUUGGCAACAAGUUAACCUGAAUAGAACACAUUCGUCUUGUUUCAAAACGGUGCGCUUUUGAAAGAAUCGUUGUUCUUCUCUCUUUCUCCUCUUCAGUGAAAAAGUGGAUUCAUUUGAUCAUUUAAAGGGUUGCAAUACCCUAGAUCAAAUGAUGGAGACUGGAGACAUUAAUCAGCCUGAACCACUGAAACAGGUGUGGUGUGAGAAAAAACAGGCUGCCGUUCAUGAAGAAAUGAAUAGAAUGAACCAACUGCCUGCAAACAGUGCAUAUGCUACACAUCGUAUGAAGGUUCUAAAUAAAAUUUUGCAACUCAUGUCAGUUCAGAGAACUGUAUCACAAGAGCAGGAAUUGGAGUUGCUUUUUGCUGGCCUUUCUUUGUGAAAGUAUUAUUACUGGCGAUGGUAUGUUGUGGGGAAUCAAUAGUAGGUUUAUAACUAUUUGCAAUGUGGUUUGUGAUUGUGCAUAUGAGCUCUACAUGCAUGUUAUUUUGGCUUUAAAUAUUGCUCCUGACUGUCAUAAUUGCAGUUGUCUUUUCAUCAAUUUAAUUUGGGUAUUUUUAAGUUUUAAAACCAGCUGAUCCUGGCGUCUGUAAUUUUUCUCUCUUGCCCCUGACAAUAGUGGAUCUGCAUCUUGAAGUCCAAAAGAUAAAGAACAAGGCUUGUUUACAGUAUGUAUGUAUUGGCAUUUUAGCCAUGCAAUAUUGGUCAGAGUCAGUUAGGGUUUUACUCAUAACUUGACUGAGCUUAAGCAGCAAUGUCUAUACUCUUCUUUAGCUACUUUUGAUAUCAUAGUAAUGCAUCAUAUUGCAAGUUGAAACCUUGCUGCCUCUGUCCAACUUUCCUUCGUUUCAUUCAUGGAUCUUGCCGGAGGAACUUUCUUUCAUAAUCCGGUCAUGGAUCAUAUAUGUUGGUUUUGACACACUCUGUAACGGCUCUGGAAAUGACCUGGAAAAAAAAUACAGAACCAGAAAGCACAAUAUAUUGUCAAUGUCUUUGGAUUUCUUACUAGAACAAAAUUAUGGGGGAUACAGGCAUACAGGUAUUAAAUAUUCUCAUUAUUUCUGUAAAAUUGUUGAAUGAACACAACACAUUAGUUUCUUUGGGUACAGACAACGCAUUUGUUUGA